CUCUUUCUGAAGUGAACUUUGCAGGAGCGUUGGCCUCUCUCCAGUUUCAGCAAGCUGAGGAUCCUUGGCAUGGCCUUCGCUCUGAGCUCCAUGGAGCAUUGUAACUGCUGGUGCUGGGGGAAGAGGCAGUCCCAAGCAGGGGCCUGGUGGAGCUCAGAUGAGAAUACGUCCAUGUCCAGGAUGGGUGAGACCAGGGGGCCCUAGUGCUUGGAAAACACCGCAAAAAAGGUUUAUGUGUCCUGUGUGAUAAAACCCAAAUGUACUUGUCCAAA